UACGUAGGGGGCAAGCGUUGUCCGGAAUUAUUGGGCGUAAAGAGCUCGUAGGCGGUUUCGUAAGUCGGGUGUGAAAACUCCAGGCUCAACCUGGAGACGCCACUCGAUACUGCGAUGACUUGAGUCCGGUAGGGGAGUGUGGAAUUCCUGGUGUAGCGGUGAAAUGCGCAGAUAUCAGGAGGAACACCAACGGCGAAGGCAGCACUCUGGGCCGGAACUGACGCUGAGGAGCGAAAGCGUGGGUAGCGAACAGG
rnacentral:misc_RNA from 1 species